rnacentral:rRNA from 1 species
UAAUGCAUGCAAGUCGAACGAGGUCUGCCUUCGGGUAUUCUUAGUGGCAGACGGCUGAGUAACGCGUAAGUAACCUGCCCGAAAGAGGGGGAUAACUCAAGGAAACUUGAGCUAAUACCGCAUAUUGUCCACGGCUGAAAUGCCAGGUGGAUGAAAGGUCUGGGAGACCAAUUUCCGCUUUCGGAUGGGCUUGCGUCCUAUCAGGUAGUUGGUGAGGUAAAGGCUCACCAAGCCAAUGACGGGUAGCUGAUGUGUGAGCAUGAACAGCCAGAGGGGGAUUGAGAUACGGCCCUCACUCCUACGGGAGGCAGCAGCAGGGAAUCUUCCACAAUGGGCGAAACCGUGAUGGAGCGACGUCGCGUGAAGGACGAAGGCCUUCGGGUUGUAAACUUCUUUUAUCAGGAAAGAGAACGGACGGUACCUGAUGAAUAAGUCACGGCUAACUACGUGCCAGCAGCCGCGGUAAUACGUAGGUGGCAAGCGUUGUCCGGAAUUACUGGGCGUAAAGGGUCCGUAGGCGGUUUGGUCAGUUUUGUGUGAAAACUCCGAGCUCAACUUGGAGAGGUCAUGAAAUACUGCCAAACUUGAGAAUGGUAGAGGUGAGUGGAAUUCCCGGUGUAGCGGUGGAAUGCAUAGAUAUCGGGAGGAACACCAGUGGCGAAACGGGCUCACUGGACCAUUUCUGACGCUGAGGGACGAAAGCGUGGGGAGCGAAUCGGAUUAGAUACCCGAGUAGUCCACGCCUUAAACGAUGGAUGCUAGAUCUUGGGAGAGUCAUACCUCAUAGGGUCGAAGCUAACGCGUUAAGCAUCCCGCCUGGGGAGUACGGUCGCAAGAUUAAAACUCAAAGGAAUUGACGGGGGCCCGCACAAGCAACGGAGCGUGUGGUUUAAUUCGAUGCUAAGCGAAAAACCUUACCUAGUCUUGACAUGUAGAUAGUAUUGAACCGAAAGGGGAUAGACCCGCAAGGG